rnacentral:rRNA from 1 species
AGUAGUUUGAUCAUGGCUCAGGAUGAACGCUGGCGGCGUGCCUAACACAUGCAAGUCGAACGGAGUUUACUCGCUGAUGAAGCUUCGGCAGAAUCUUGAGUAAACUUAGUGGCGGACGGGUGAGUAACGCGUGGGCAACCUGCCUCAUACUGGGGGAUAACAGCUGGAAACGACUGUUAAUACCGCAUAAGCGCACAGCAUCGCAUGAUGCAGUGUGAAAAACUCCGGUGGUAUGAGAUGGGCCCGCGUCAGAUUAGCCAGUUGGCAGGGUAACGGCCUACCAAAGCGACGAUCUGUAGCCGGCCUGAGAGGGCGGACGGCCACAUUGGGACUGAGACACGGCCCAAACUCC